CCCAAGAUAAUAGAUAACUGUAGAUACCUAAUCCAUAAUUGACAGUUUCAUAAUGUUAAAUACCUAUCUACCUCGCAUGUAACAGUAACCUCACUUAGCUGCAGAAGUUAGUAAAUGCUAACACCUUGCACACACCUAUUUUCCUUAUCAAUAAAUCAAACAAACCUUAAUUUUAUUUUACUAUUUAUCUGUCAUAAAUAAACCUGACCCGUUUCUAAGUUGCCAUGUGCACAUUUCCUACAGUAACUCAUAAGUCAUAAGCUCAUAGCCAUCAACUGAACAACAAGUUUCGAACUAGUUUAUCUUUUCUAGGCUUCAUCUUGUCAUCUUAUCAAUUAGCACAGAAAGAUUUUGCUCGGUUGAUGGAAAUUAGAACGAAUCUCAUCUCAUACGAAGGACCGUACAAGUGUAUACUUCUGAAGCCCCACAUCUCUCACUUGAGUUUGAUUAAUCAAUCGAGAAAAUGGCUUUGCCUUCAUAACAAAUAAAUUUUUAUUCUUUACGAACAAUAAGAGCAAAGGAAAAAAAUCACGAGAUACUUAACAUUUUGGUCUUGGCAUCGCUCACAUAACAUCACAGAAGAUGAAGAUGGAGAUGACGAUGACGAUGAAAACGAAAGAAUAGAUGAACGACUUUUGUUUUAUUAUUUUCUUAAUUCUGUGUAAUGUGUCGACGAAGAUUUCACAUUAUUACGAAAUAACCCGCUAAACUAACCUCAAAAGCAACCCCCAUUUAUAACCAAUACCUGCCAUCGAUAUAGGUACAUAGGAGGAAGAACGAAAACAACAAAAAUUUGUGAAGAAAUUUGACUUACUAGGCUUCCGGACUUUGAAGAUCUGAUGACUUCUUGCCACUUUCUUUGAUUGUUUCAAAUUUUUCAUAAUUUUGCGCCAAACCUGUCAAAUGAAAUAAAUAAAUUCAAAAAUCAAAAAAAGAAAACAACAAUCACAAUCAAUUACAACAACAAUAUAAAAAGGAAAAAUAAUAAAAUUAACCGCAUUGCAUUUUGGCAUUUUCCACUAUGACAUAACAAGUUCACCACCCUCAAGUCCCAACCCACCCCACUUUGUAGUAAGGAAAAUGAAACUCACCUCUUCGUGUUUUUGCAACAAUUUUACUUGGACCCUUUGAAACGGUAUACAUUUUCUUUUUGUUUGUUAUUUAAUUUAUAUAUUCACUGAAUUUGUUAUGUUUUUUUUU